GACGAACGCUGGCGGCGUGCUUAACACAUGCAAGUCGAACGGAAAGGCCCUGCUUUUGUGGGGUGCUCGAGUGGCGAACGGGUGAGUAACACGUGAGUAACCUGCCCUUGACUUUGGGAUAACUUCAGGAAACUGGGGCUAAUACCGGAUAGGAGCUCCUGCUGCAUGGUGGGGGUUGGAAAGUUUCGGCGGUUGGGGAUGGACUCGCGGCUUAUCAGCUUGUUGGUGGGGUAGUGGCUUACCAAGGCUUUGACGGGUAGCCGGCCUGAGAGGGUGACCGGCCACAUUGGGACUGAGAUACGGACCAGACGCCUACGGGAGGCAGCAGUGGGGAAUAUUGCACAAUGGGCGGAAGCCUGAUGCAGCAACGCCGCGUGCGGGAUGACGGCCUUCGGGGUGUAAACCGCUUUCGCCUGUGACGAAGCGUGAGUGACGGUAAUGGGUAAAGAAGCACCGGCUAACUACGUG
rnacentral:rRNA from 1 species